CUACCCUACAAACUCUCCUCUCCCUCUCUCUUCUUGCCUCUUCUCUCUCUUUCAUUGUCCAGACAAAACCUUCUCAGCAAUCAUGCAACAUCUCCCUCUCUCUAACUUGCUAAAUGUUCAGAAUAUGAGGAGGCCAAUGUAUAUUGCAAGGUGACACAGUAGUGGGCUUCAUCUAUGACGUGAGCUUUUAAGGGGUCGCUACUGUAUGAGCUGCGUGUUUGGGCAGGAUCUGGAGGUUCACAUUGCAUUGCAUUGCAUUGCUUUGCUUUGCUUUGAUUGUUUGAGGUUGAAGCCUUACAUAUACGGCACCCACCCUUAAGACAUGGGAGGUAUGGGAGUAAAUUUCUGUUACGCUGAUACCAUGCUCCUGUUCUAGAAUGAAAAAUUCAUUGACCCCCUUGGAAAAAUGACUUGGAGAAUUUGUUUAUAUAAAGUUUUGAGAUUCGAUUUUUUCUAUAUAAAGUUUUGGGAUUUAAUUAAGGAGUAUGAGAAGAAUUCUUUGGUUUUUGUUUUUCCUUGAAAAAAGUAUUUUCGAAUGCAAAAAACACCUAAAGAAACGGGUUUUAAAUACAUAAUUACCUAGAUCUAACUGUUAAAAAAUUAGACAUCUAUUUGUGAUCCCUGGACAUGAUUCAAGCAAACCAGCAGCCCCCCUUUUCUUUUCACAGACCAUAAACCAGAAGAGAUGGCUGGUAGAGAAAAGGCCAUUGGAGCAGGAGGCUCGAACAAGGCGACGUCAAGGAGCAGUAAAGCCGGUUUCCAAUUAUCAGUGGGUCGAAUUGCUCGAUUUUUUAAGGCAGGGAAAUAUGCAGAGAGGAGUUGAGCAGGUUGCUCGGGACUGUCACAAUCACCAAUGGUGGGGUUCAAAGGCCUCAGGGCGUUUACUCUAAACUAGGGUUGCUUUCUUUUAUGAGAGUUUUCUUUUCUGUUGGAUCUGUAAUGUACAUGCCAUCGGUUUCUUUAGAAUAAAAUCUAUUAAUGGAA